AGUCAGUCCUCCACUCACUUUUCCCUCUCCUCUUCAUUCUCUCCUGGCACGCUGGUCUUCCAGAAGAGGGGAGGCAGUGUUCCGUGUUCUCGGGGUGCAGCCCGACAGGUGCAGGGCUGAGGAGGCCACAGCUCUGAGGGCACCUGGCAAAUGGGAAUGUGUAUUGGAGAAAAAAUAACAGAGUCUGGCUAAAGAGAUGAAGAGCUCAUGAGGGCGUGUCUCAAUUUAAACAAGAGUAGCAUUGGCAAUUGUUGUCCUUAGCAGCAGCCGACAAGGCGGAAUUGGAAUGGUGCUGCUCCUGACUACCUCUACUCCACGCUAGGCUUAGGGGCUGGAGUGACCCAAGCCCUCAGGGACCUGCAGCGGCUGAAGUCCUCUCAGCACCUGCAAUAUCCCAGAGGGCAAAGACAGGGCCAAAUACUGGAUUCUGGAUUCUCUUCAUUGUUGUCCCCCUGCAAGUGGAGAGGUAUCCAGGCUGGGCCUUGUCCUAAGAUAUGACGGAACUGAAUUCUUCCAGCAAGCAUGUGAGCUUGGAAGAGAACACCAUGCGCCACACGAGAAUGCAUACUGGCCAACACCCUGUGCAAAGAUCCAGAGAAGCUGUGCUCAGACUCCUGACUCAUGAAAAUAGUGAACUUAUAAAUGUAUAUUGUUUUAAGAUGCUAAAUUUGUGGUGAUGUGUUACAUGGCAAUAGAAAACUAAUAGAGAUAAAACUUGACAUUUGAAGUGCAUCACAUAAUGAAAUUAGUAGAUGAGAAUCUCUCUAGAAACAAGUAAAAUUUUGAGUUAAAAUGAGAGACUGG
rnacentral:lncRNA from 10 species